rnacentral:lncRNA from 1 species
GGGCGGUCUGGUAGUGCUCGCCCGGUAUGCUUGUGUUGUUGUUAUCUUCUACUUGUGUAUGUCUUAACAAACACAAAGAAAACCUUGACCGAAGGUCGCAUGACUUCAAGAAAAGAGAUUUCGAAUUCGAAAGAUCAUUCAAGCAGCCUCUAGGCUUGAAGGAAGGCCGGCAAUCUACCGAAGAGAGGGUAUGGAUCAAAAGGAUGAAGCGUUACCUUUAUGGAUUUUUGCAUUUUGGGGUGCCAGGCUUGAAGGAAGGCCGGCAAUCUACCGAAGAGAGGGUAUGGAUCAAAAGGAUGAAGCGUUACCUUUAUGGAUUUUUGCAUUUUGGGGUGCCUCCUGGUGUUCGGAUGCCACUUUAAUUGGAUUGCAUUUUUGUAUUUUUGCAUUUUGUGGAUCUCUGACUGGUUGUUGCCCUGCUACUUCAAUUGGAUUGUAUUUUCUGUUCCUCAAUCAUAAAAAGAAACAGAAAUCUGUAUAUUUAGCUGCACAGCAAAAAUUGUAAGGAUACAUGAUUAUCGGCACAGAUUAAUUAAGAAUGAUUUCCAUCUCUAGGAUCUGUGAUCUUAGAAGUCGAGGUCAUCUCAGACUUGCAAGAAUGUUUCGCCUGUCUUGCUAUUCUGACCCGUGACCCGGAAGGCGAACGUGAAGGGACUAACCUGAAUAACACUGUUUCG